rfam:Triticum aestivum genome assembly, contig: Triticum_aestivum_CS42_TGACv1_scaffold_580313_7BL
CUGCACAAUGCUAACCCCGGGCUUGUCGGACGGAUCUCGGUACCUUGUGAUGAAGGAAACCCCCAAUGUUGUGUAGAUCUACACUGCCGUUCAGUGUUGCAGUUCGCGACACUACGCGUGGAUGUGUGACAUGUGUCAGAGUAAUGGAUACAUAC